UACAGAGGGGGGCAAGCGUUGUUCGGAAUUACUGGGCGUAAAGGGCGCGUAGGCGGCCUGCUAAGUCGAACGUGAAAUCCCUGGGCUCAACCCAGGAACUGCGUCCGAUACUGGUUGGCUUGAAUCCGGGAGAGGGAUGUGGAAUUCCAGGUGUAGCGGUGAAAUGCGUAGAUAUUGGGAGGAACACCAGUGGCGAAGGCGGCUCACUGGACUGGUACUGACGCUGAGGCGCGAAAGCGUGGGGAGCAAACAGG
rnacentral:rRNA from 1 species